rnacentral:lncRNA from 1 species
GAUGGCACAUCAAGCUAUCAUUCUUCAGAGUGAUACCAAAAAGAAGAAAAUAAGGUACCUAGGUAGCAUAAGAUAACGGUAUGAUCGUCACGAUAAUGGCUCUAGACAAUGAAACCCAGAUAACUAAGACUGCUGGGAAACAGUAAUUUAAUAUCUUCCUUAACAACUGAACCUUGGCCUGGUGAAGAAGGGAUUCACCAAAAAUAUGCCAAUGGAAGUGUAAAAUAUAAG